rnacentral:rRNA from 1 species
GACGAACGCUGGCGGCGUGCUUAACACAUGCAAGUCGAACGGAAAGGCCCUGCUUUUGUGGGGUGCUCGAGUGGCGAACGGGUGAGUACACGGGAGUAACCUGCCCUUGACUUUGGGAUAACUUCAGGAAACUGGGGCUAAUACCGGAUAGGAGCUCCUGCUGCAUGGGGGGGGUUGGAAAGUUUCGGCGGUUGGGGAUGGACUCGCGGCUUAUCAGCUUGUUGGUGGGGUAGUGGCUUACCAAGGCUUUGACGGGUAGCCGGCCUGAGAGGGUGACCGGCCACAUUGGGACUGAGAUACGGCCCAGACUCCUACGGGAGGCAGCAGUGGGGAAUAUUGCACAAUGGGCGGAAGCCUGAUGCAGCAACGCCGCGUGCGGGAUGACGGCCUUCGGGUUGUAAACCGCUUUCGCCUGUGACGAAGCGUGAGUGACGGUAAUGGGUAAAGAAGCACCGGCUAACUACGUG